CCUUUCUCUUCCAGGAGAGGAGAUGGAAUUUUCCAAAGUUCCUGAGUUGACCUCUUCAGUGCCAGGCAUUGGCAUUGUGGAGAUGAACUAGGCAGGUACUCUCCCUCAAGUACUUCCCAGCCCAGAAGGGGACAGGACCACACCUGAGGACUAUCCUAAAGAUCUGAACAGUGGAGACAGAAUGAAGAGAGCUUGCUUGGACAGCUUUAUGUAGCAGAGCUGGUACAAGUGACUUAGGCCUUGAAGGGACUCCUGAGCAUCAUUCAAGGAAUUCUCUGGUCUCUAAACCCAAGUCUAAAGGCAGCUGAUUUAUCUGAUUUAUCCCUGGGAGCCACACCCAGCACAGGGCCAAGCACAAACACAACAUCACAUGAACGAGGACAGUGAGUCACUUGGGAUAUGGAGAGACGCAAGAGGAUCAGAAGUUUGAGGCCACCCUCAGGAACACAGCAAGUCUGAGGGCAGCCCGAGCCACACACGCUUCUUACCAAGAAAGGAUGAAGCCAAUGUUCCCACUCUAUCCUAAAAUAGGCUGCCAAGCACACCCAAGAAUGUGUCCUGUGACCCCACACUAGAAGACCUUGACACUCAGUAUGAUCGCAUCACGAAGCCUGAUCUAUACCCAAGGGUGGGAACCGCAUCACUGUGGUCUCUACCCAUCAUGGAGACCCUCUCACUCACUCACUCGCCCACUCACUCACAGUGUGACCUUGGGAAGCCACUGAACUGAUCUAGUCUCUCUCCCAUAAAAUGGACUAAUGGUUGCAUCUCCCCCGAGAGCUUGGCAGAAGGGUUAAAAUUAAUAUGUACUGAAUGCUAUUGAUUAUAUAAAGUUAUUAUAUGUGAAGGACAUGUAACUGUGGCUGAUACUUGCUGGACACAAUGUAAAGAUUUAUUAGAUAAGUUAGUCAUGGCUUGGAUGUACACAAGAUGAAGCUAGAGGCUCAGGGUCCUAUAUAGCAGGGGCUUUAAGUCCGAUGCUCUGACUCCCAGUAGAUCCUCUCUCUGACUUAGGGCCUGGCUAGUGGAGGAGAGGAUACAGUGAUGUCAUCUCCUGCCCAUCAGUAGAUCUGACCUCAGUUUCUUCAGUGGCAAUGGAAGGUAUGUAAGAAAACCAGCCUUACUUGACGUGUUAUAAAACAGUAACUAAGUUAACUGAGCUCCUACCAUGUCAUGUGUCAGGCAGGCCCUCUGCUAAGUGCUUUACUGUCACAGGAUCACUUCAUGAAACCCUUACAAGUUUAGAGGUGGGUAUUCUGUUCUAUAGAGGAUCAGGGAGGUGAAAAGAAAAACAAAAAUCCUGUCCAACAUCACAAAGCUAAUAAGGGAUGAGCUAGAAUCUGAAUUAAGGUCUGCCUAAACCUACAACCAAAGAUGAUGAUGUCCUUGAAGCCAUUGUACUUAGGGGUGGGUCAAUAAAGAGGGUGCUGGCCUGAGCUCUACCUACCCACUCCAGGUUUAGCCACCAAACAGCCUUCCGCUAGAUAUCAGCUUGGCCCAGGAACUGAGUGAUGGCAAAGACAGAAAAGUGACUGUUGGGAUGAGGGGACCCUGGAAGGAGGUAGCAGGGCACCAGCCUGAGACUGGAUGUCCAGAUGUGAAGAAGGG
rnacentral:lncRNA from 1 species